AUCAGGUCUGAAAAACAAUAAUAAACAACAGUAAUCAAUAAAAGUCAUGGUAUUUCAAAAGACCUCCAUCAGGUGUAACACUGCAGAAGGGAUGUUAAUUAUCAGAGAUAUCACAGGACUUUAUUCCCACAAGUCAACACAUGAAGAACCUCCUCACUGAGAUAGGUGUUGACAUGAUUCAUCAAUAGUUCAGGUCUAAUCCUUCAGUAAAUG